GGGGUUGUAGCUCACUUGGUUGAGUGUUUGCUUAGCAUACAGAAAGCUCUGGGUUCCAAUCCCAGCAGCGCAC
rnacentral:tRNA from 1 species